UGACAGCCCCGUACACAAAAGCGCAUGUGCUGUGAGCUCGAUGAGUAGGGCGGGACACGUGGUAUCCUGUCUGAAUAUGGGGGGACCAUCCUCCAAGGCUAAAUACUCCUGACUGACCGAUAGUGAACCAGUACCGUGAGGGAAAGGCGAAAAGAACCCCGGCGAGGGGAGUGAAAAAGAACCUGAAACCGUGUACGUACAAGCAGUGGGAGCACCCUUUGGGGUGUGACUGCGUACCUUUUGUAUAAUGGGUCAGCGACUUAUAUUCUGUAGCAAGGUUAACCGAAUAGGGGAGCCGGAGGGAAACCGAGUCUUAAUUGGGCGUUAAGUUGCAGGGUAUAGACCCGAAACCCGGUGAUCUAGCCAUGGGCAGGUUGAAGGUUGGGUAACACUAACUGGAGGACCGAACCGACUAAUGUUGAAAAAUUAGCGGAUGACCUGUGGCUGGGGGUGAAAGGCCAAUCAAACCGGGAGAUAGCUGGUUCUCCCCGAAAGCUAUUUAGGUAGCGCCUCGUGAAUUCAUCUCCGGGGGUAGAGCACUGUUUCGGCUAGGGGGCCAUCCCGGCUUACCAACCCGAUGCAAACUGCGAAUACCGGAGAAUGUUAUCACGGGAGACACACGGCGGGUGCUAACGUCCGUCGUGAAGAGGGAAACAACCCAGACCGCCAGCUAAGGUCCCAAAGUCAUGGUUAAGUGGGAAACGAUGUGGGAAGGCCCAGACAGCCAGGAUGUUGGCUUAGAAGCAGCCAUCAUUUAAAGAAAGCGUAAUAGCUCACUGGUCGAGUCGGCCUGCGCGGAAGAUGUAACGGGGCUAAACCAUGCACCGAAGCUGCGGCAGCGACGCUGAUGCGUUGUUGGGUAGGGGAGCGUUCUGUAAGCCUGCGAAGGUGGCCUGUGAGGGUUGCUGGAGGUAUCAGAAGUGCGAAUGCUGACAUAAGUAACGAUAAAGCGGGUGAAAAGCCCGCUCGCCGGAAGACCAAGGGUUCCUGUCCAACGUUAAUCGGGGCAGGGUGAGUCGACCCCUAAGGCGAGGCCGAAAGGCGUAGUCGAUGGGAAACGGGUUAAUAUUCCCGUACUUGGUGUUACUGCGAAGGGGGGACGGAGAAGGCUAUGUUGGCCGGGCGACGGUU
rnacentral:rRNA from 1 species